AUGUGUCGGGCUACGCUCGGGCUUCCCCUACCGCCCAUUGUGAUCCAGCCCACUAGGCGCUCCCUGCCGCCCAUUGUGACGCCUGCCAGCCGCAGGCCGGGUCCCCGAGGCGGGCGGCAUUUAGGCUCGGUCUCCACAGCCAUGGCCGCGACGCAGGAGCUGCUGCUGCAGUUGCAGAAGGAUAACCGAGAUGGUCGCCAGCGGAAGCAGGAGCUAGAGAAGCUGAUGCGCGGGCUCGAGGCCAAGAGCGAGAGCCUCAACCAGCGCCUGCAGGACCUAAGCGAGCGGGAGCGAAGGCUGCUGCGGAGGCGAAGCCAGGCAGCGCUGCCUCUGCAAGGGGAGGAGCGCGAGGCGGCGCGGGAGCGCGCGCAGCGGGUGCGCAGAAGACUGGAGGAGGCGGAGCGCCACAAGGAGGACUUGGUGAGGAAGAGUCCUGGAAUGGGGCUGGACCCAGGGUGGGGUGGGGCAGGGCGGGCGGAAGGGGGCGGGAUCCGGGGGUGGGGUGAGGUAGGACCGGCGGAGAGGCCGGCACCGCCCCAGGACCCUGUCCGCAGGAGCAGCACAGCAGGCAGCUGCAGGAGCAGUGGGAGGAGCUGUCGAGUCAGAAGCCCGGUAAACCCCGCCCUUACGAGCCCCGCCUCUAGCUCUUCUACUACGGAGGAGAACCGCAGAGCCAGAAGAGCACGGAGCAGCAACUCGCAGCCCAAUUGGUGACGCUGCAG
rnacentral:lncRNA from 1 species